rnacentral:rRNA from 1 species
GUGACAGGUGGUGCAUGGUUGUCGUCAGCUCGUGUCGUGAGAUGUUGGGUUAAGUCCCGCAACGAGCGCAACCCUUAUUACUAGUUGCCAGCAUUCAGUUGGGCACUCUAGUGAGACUGCCGGUGACAAACCGGAGGAAGGUGGGGAUGACGUCAAAUCAUCAUGCCCCUUAUGACCUGGGCUACACACGUGCUACAAUGGAUGGUACAACGAGUCGCGAAGUCCUGAGGCCAAGCUAAUCUCUUAAAGCCAUUCUCAGUUCGGAUUGUAGGCUGCAACUCGCCUACAUGAAGCCGGAAUCGCUAGUAAUCGCGGAUCAGAACGCCGCGGUGAAUACGUUCCCGGGUCUUGUACACACCG